rnacentral:rRNA from 1 species
GAUGAACGCUGGCGGCGUGCUUAACACAUGCAAGUCGAGCGAACAGACGAGAAGUUUGCUUCUCUGUUGUUAGCGGCGGACGGGUGAGUAACACGUGUAUAAUCUACUUAUAAGACUGGGAUAAUCACGGGAAACCGGAGCUAAUACCGGAUAAUAUUUUGAACCGUAUGGUUCAAAAGUGAAAGACGGCCUUGCUGUCACUUAUAGAUGGAUCUGCGCUGCAUUAGCUAGUUGGUAAGGUAACGGCUUACCAAGGCAACGAUGCAUAGCCGAACUGAUAGGCGGAUCGGCCACCCUAGAGCUGAGACGCGGUCCAGACUCCUGCGGGAGGCAGCAGUAGGCAAUCUUACGCAGUGGGCGAGAGCCUGACGGAGCGGCGCCGCGUGAGUGAUGGAGAUCUUCGGAUCGUGAAGCUCUGUUAUUGGGGAAAAACAUAUGUGGAAGUAACUGUGCACAUCUUGACGGUACCUAGUAAAAAAGCCACGGCUAACUACGUG